ACCCUUGUACUCAGUGGUAGAGCGUUCGACCGGUGUGCGGAAUGUCAUAGGUUCAAUUCCUGUUGGGGGAA